UCCGUAGGCGGGAUAUUAAGUCAGUGGUGAAAGCCUGCAGCUCAACUGUAGAAUUGCCAUUGAUACUGGUAUCCUUGAGUACACCUGAAGUGGGCGGAAUGUGUCAUGUAGCGGUGAAAUGCAUAGAUAUGACACAGAACACCGAUUGCGAAAGCAGCUCACUAAAGUGUUACUGACGCUGAGGGACGAAAGCGUGGGGAGCGAACAGGAUUAGAUACCCUGGUAGUCC
rnacentral:rRNA from 1 species